UACGAAGGGGGGCUAGCGUUGCUCGGAAUCACUGGGCGUAAAGCGCACGUAGGCGGCUUUCUAAGUCAGGGGGUGAAAUCCUGGAGCUCAACUCCAGAACUGCCUUUGAUACUGGAGAGCUUGAGUCCGGAAGAGGUGAGUGGAACUCCGAGUGUAGAGGUGAAAUUCGUAGAUAUUCGGAAGAACACCAGUGGCGAAGGCGGCUCACUGGUCCGGUACUGACGCUGAGGUGCGAAAGCGUGGGGGAGCAAACAGG
rnacentral:rRNA from 1 species